rnacentral:rRNA from 1 species
CCGCUGUCUCCAACAUCGACUCAGCGAAAUUGAAUUGCCUGUCAAGAUGCAGGCUUCCCGCGGUUAGACGGAAAGACCCCGUGCACCUUUACUACAGCUUCGCACUGGCAUCAGGAUUGUGAUGUGCAGGAUAGGUGGUAGGCUUUGAAGCGGUGACGCCAGUCAUCGUGGAGCCUCCCUUGAGAUACCACCCUUUGCAUUCUUGAUGUCUAACCGCGGUCCGUUAUCCGGAUCCGGGACCCUGCGUGGCGGGUAGUUUGACUGGGGCGGUCGCCUCCUAAAGAGUAACGGAGGCGCGCGAUGGUUGGCUCAGGACGGUUGGAAACCGUCUGUUAGAGUGCAAUGGCAUAAGCCAGCCUGACUGCGAGACUGACAAGUCGAGCAGAGACGAAAGUCGGUCAUAGUGAUCCGGUGGUCCCUCGUGGAAGGGCCAUCGCUCAACGGAUAAAAGGUACGCCGGGGAUAACAGGCUGAUACUGCCCAAGAGUCCAUAUCGACGGCAGUGUUUGGCACCUCGAUGUCGGCUCAUCUCAUCCUGGGGCUGGAGCAGGUCCCAAGGGUACGGCUGUUCGCCGUUUAAAGAGGUACGUGAGCUGGGUUUAGAACGUCGUGAGACAGUUCGGUCCCUAUCUGCCGUGGGUGUAGGAUACUUGAGAGGAGUUGCCCCUAGUACGAGAGGACCGGGGUGAAC